GGAAGCGUUGGGAAAUCGAAGGAGGCAUGCGAUGCAUGAGAAAGACUUUCACUUCUGUUCCCUCUUCCUGGCUCCCCGGACCAAACAUGCACCCCCUUUCCUGUGUUCUCCCUGCCGUCCGCCUGGCCUCACCCUGUCCGCGGUAGGUAAGACUCAAAACAGCCUCUGCCUGCGGCAGAAUUCGACCUCCUCUCGGUUGCAUAUCAGCCGUGCACGUGUUACUUGCAUUAGCAGACGGCAGGGGAGCAAAUGCGGCGGUGAAAUGCGGGCAGAUGUGAGCUCAUGUCUCUUCCAGGCCUUUUCUCUUCCAGAUGAGAAGACGGAAGCCCAGAAAGGCACACUGAUUCUCCAACAUCACACAGCUAAACAGCAGCUCUCUGAUCUCCUUGAGCCCACCAGGCAGCCCUCUGAUGCGUUAAAAGGACACAGCCUGGAGAAGGAUGCACCCCAAAUAACGAUCAGGGCAUGUGGAAAUUCCCAGUCCAAGCAACUCAAGCUGCUGCAGGGACAAUGCCAGAUCCUUAACCCUCUGCACCACAAGGGAACUCCUUAA
rnacentral:lncRNA from 1 species